UCCAUUUUUAAUGUUUAUCUUUUUUCUUGUUCUAUUUUUUUUAAUCACCGAUAGUUAAUCAAUUCUUUUUCUGUGAAUUAACUUGUUUACUAAAUCAGUUGAUUCUGUUGUUAAUUGUAAUCGAUGUGUUUACUAUUUAGAAGGAAAAAAAUCUCCACAAAAGCUUCUCCCUUUCUCUGUUUGUCUCUCUCUUCAUAGAGAGAGAGAGAGAGAGAGAGAGAGAAAUUAAUUUCCAACGUGUGUUAAUUAUCUCACAUUUGCUUCCGUGAUUAUCUGUUUUCUUAUAUUAAUUUCUAAUCUUGUUGGCAUUGAUUCAAAUGUUUAUCUAGAUGACAAUUGAUCACAUCGCUACUUGAUCACCGGAUGAUUGAAUAUCCCAAGUGAGUAACUAUUAAUUGUUUCCCUUUGCUUUUUUUUCCAGGUUAAUGGUAACCAAUUUUUGGUUUUAUUCCAAUCAAUUUAAUCCAUGACUUACAAUCUCCGACAAUCGUUAUUAACAUAGUCACAAAUCAAUUAAACGCCAGUUCAAGGUACAAUUGCGACAGGUCAAAAUGUGGAACGAUAAUAAUCAAUAAUAAUAAACAAGACCCAACAAAAGACAACAAUUAAUAAGUGGAAAUUACAAUUUUCCAUUAUAAGUGUUGUAUGUUUACCAAUGAGAACAUCAUCUUAAUCAUCUUUAAUCAAUUUAACUUAAUUGCGGUUGAUUUGUUCAUCAUCAAUUUCUCAACAUCAAUCAGACAACAACAAAUAACAGUUAAAAUCUUAAUUAUGGUGAUAAAAAGGUUUCCAUCUUCAAUUAAGAUAAUCUAACAAUCAUCACCUGAAUUAACAAUCAAUUUAAUCUGUGAUACUACAUUAUAUUGUUAUACUCUUAUGUUUUAAUCAAUUGUUGAGAUGAUACAGUUAAUUGUGAAAAAUAAUCACAGGAAACCGACGGAAAUUACAAAUCAAAUUGGAAAACCAUUGCAAUUGAAUAUGGAGAAAAUUAAACAAUAUAAUCAAAAGAAACAAUCAAAGGAAAAUGUUUAAAUCAAUUCCCGCUAUUUAAACGAUAAACAAUUAAGAAUACCUCCUUGGGUGAAAUCAACUUGAAAUGGAAACAGAAAAGCUAAUCAAUUCUGUCAGUUGAUAACAAUUAACUCAACACAUUCCUUGAUUGUGUUUAUUUAAUUAUUUUACUAAAUCAUUUCCUUAA